GUAGGGAAUAUUGGGCAAUGGUCGGAAGACUGACCCAGCCAUGCCGCGUGCAGGAAGACGGCCCUCUGGGUUGUAAACUGCUUUUAUCUGGGAAGAAAAAGGCCAUGCGUGGCAAAUUGCCGGUACCAGAUGAAUAAGCACCGGCUAACUCCGUGCCAGCAGCCGCGGUAAUACGGAGGGUGCGAGCGUUGUCCGGAUGUAUUGGGUUUAAAGGGUGCGUAGGCGGCUGAUUAAGUCAGCGGUGAAAGACUUCGGCUUAACCGGAGCAGUGCCGUUGAUACUGGUUGGCUUGAGUGUCGGAGGGGUACAUGGAAUUGAUGGUGUAGCGGUGAAAUGCAUAGAUACCAUCAGGAACACCGAUAGCGAAGGCAUUGUACUGGCCGACAACUGACGCUGAUGCACGAAAGUGUGGGGAUCGAACAGGAUUAGAAACCCCAGUAGUCC
rnacentral:rRNA from 1 species